rnacentral:rRNA from 1 species
AUUGACCGCUGGCGGCAUGCUUUACAUAUGCAAGUCGAACGGCAGCGCGGGCUUCGGCCUGGCGGCGCAUGGCGAACGGGUGAGUAACGCACGCGAACGUGCCCAGUAGCGUGGGAUAGCACGGCAACCGCCGGAUUCAUACCGCAUACGACCUGAGGGUGCACGCGGAGGACCGCCAGCCCCCGCACGAUUGGACCGGCCGGUGUCGGCUUAGCCAGUUGGUAGGGUAAAGGCUUACCAAGGCGACGAACCGGAGCUGGUCUGAGAGGACGGCCAGCCACUGUAGGACUGAGCCACGGUCCCGACUCCUACGGGGGGCAGCAGUGGGCAAUUUUGGACAAUGGGUGCAACCCUGAUCCAGCCCUGCCGCGUGCGGGAAGAAGGCCUUCGGGUUGUAAACCGGUUUUGUUCGGGAAGAAAUCCUCUGGGCUAAUACCCCGUGGGGAUGACGGUACCGGAAGAAUAAGCACCGGCUAACUACGUG